CUGAACAUUCCAGACUUUUUGUGUUUAUGGAUGACAGGGGCUGGGGUGAAGCUUCCGCCCAAACAGGUAUCAUGUAUUUCUAUGGGGCUGCAGAGAUCCGGCUUUCCUGUUUAGACCCUCCUUCCUCCACCUGAAGCUCAAAGUAUCUCCAGGCUAAAAUUCUGAUGCCUAGUCUUGGAAUCAGCUUUUUCUUUCUUCCUUUUUUUGUUUUGUUUUUCGAGACAGGGUUUCUCUGUAACUUUGGAGCCUGUCCUGGAACUAGCUCUUGUAGACCAGGCUGGUCUCAAACUCACAAAGAUCUGCCUGCCUCUGCCUCCCGAGUGCUGAGAUUAAAGGCGUGCGCCACCACCGCCCGGCCGGAAUCAGCUUUUUCUAACUCUCGGUCACAGCCAGUUUCAUAUUCGAAGAAGGUUCAGGGAUAUCAAGUGGGAAGGAAGUAUCCCGGAGCCAUGAAGAGAAAUAAUGUGAAAAAAAUCUGAGAACACUUGGGACAAGCCAGGACCCUGUUGGCAUCAUAUGGAUCAGAGAUGACUGAGGUCUUCAGGGCUGUGACUUCUGUUUCUAAUUCAUCAUCAAACAUAUAUGAUGUCGUAAUACUGAGAAAACAGGAAGGGAUCUCCACAUCCAUUCACUGCAACUGGAACUCCAUCCAUGGCUGGGGUUGCCAGAUUUGAUCCAGAUUUAUAUAGACAUUUGUAUUGGGAAAUAAAUGUUUCAGGCACCUGGGCACAGCACCCUGCUGUCUACCACAUUGUAGCUGGAAUUACGUCUAAGUCUUGGCUCAUCUCCCCAGUCCUCAAAGU